rnacentral:lncRNA from 1 species
AAAAAUUAAGAAUCUGAAUACACGGUUAGAUUUGGCAUAUCAAAGAACCCCAAUAAUUCAUUUUUUGAUGAAAUCAAACAAAGUUUAAUUUUGGACCCUUUUGGCCCCUAAUUCAUUGGGACCAAAACUCCCAAAAUCAAUCCAAACCUUCCUUUCGUGGUCAUAAACCUUGUGUUAAAAUUUCAUAGAUUUCUGUUUACUUAUACUAAAGUUAUUGUGCAAAAACCAAGAAAAAUGCUUAUUUGGGACCUUUUUUGGCCCU